CCUACGGGCGGCAGCAGUAGGGAAUCUUCCACAAUGGGCGAAAGCCUGAUGCAGCAACGCCGCGUGGGUGAAGAAGGUCUUCGGAUCGUAAAACCCUGUUGUUAGAGAAGAAAGUGCGUGAGAGUAACUGUUCACGUUUCGACGGUAUCUAACCAGAAAGCCCCGGCUAACUACGUGCCAGCAGCCGCGGUAAUACGUAGGUGGCAAGCGUUAUCCGGAUUUAUUGGGCGUAAAGGGUACGCAGGCGGUCUUUUAAGUCUGAUGUGAAAGCCUUCGGCUUAACCGGAGGAGUGCAUUGGAAACUGGGAGACUUGAGUGCAGGAGAGGAGAGUGGAACUCCAGGUGUAGCGGUGAAAUGCGUAGAUAUAGGGAAGAACACCAGUGGCGAAAGCGGCUCUCUGGUCUGUAACUGACGCUGAGGUUCGAAAGCGUGGGUAGCGAACAGGAUUAGAUACCCUUGUAGUC
rnacentral:rRNA from 1 species